UGGGGAAUAUUGCACAAUGGGCGCAAGCCUGAUGCAGCCAUGCCGCGUGUGUGAAGAAGGCCUUCGGGUUGUAAAGCACUUUCAGCGGGGAGGAAGGCGGUGAGGUUAAUAACCUCAUCGAUUGACGUUACCCGCAGAAGAAGCACCGGCUAACUCCGUGCCAGCAGCCGCGGUAAUACGGAGGGUGCAAGCGUUAAUCGGAAUUACUGGGCGUAAAGCGCACGCAGGCGGUCUGUCAAGUCGGAUGUGAAAUCCCCGGGCUCAACCUGGGAACUGCAUUCGAAACUGGCAGGCUAGAGUCUUGUAGAGGGGGGUAGAAUUCCAGGUGUAGCGGUGAAAUGCGUAGAGAUCUGGAGGAAUACCGGUGGCGAAGGCGGCCCCCUGGACGAAGACUGACGCUCAGGUGCGAAAGCGUGGGGAGCAAACAGGA
rnacentral:rRNA from 1 species